AAGUGGUAGCAAUACCAUGAGUAAAGUGGCGCACGGGUGAGUAACACGUGACUAACCUACCCUGGAGUGGGGAAUAACUGAGGGAAACCUUAGCUAAUGCCGCAUAACACCUACGGGUCAAAGGAGCAAUUCGCUUCAGGAGGGGGUCGCGGCCGAUUAGUUAGUUGGCGGGGUAAUGGCCCACCAAGACGAUGAUCGGUAUCCGGCCUGAGAGGGCGCACGGACACACUGGAACUGAAACACGGUCCAGACUCCUACGGGAGGCAGCAGUGGGGAAUUUUGCGCAAUGGGGGAAACCCUGACGCAGCAACGCCGCGUGGAGGAUGAAGUACUUCGGU
rnacentral:rRNA from 1 species